rnacentral:miRNA from 1 species
UACCCUGCUAGAACCAAAUUUGUG